UACAGAGGGUGCGAGCGUUAAUCGGAUUUACUGGGCGUAAAGCGCGUGUAGGCGGUCAGGCAAGUCAGAUGUGAAAUCCCUGGGCUCAACCGAGGAAGUGCAUCCGAAACUGCUUGGCUAGAAGACGGUAGAGGAAGGUGGAAUUCCUAGUGUAGAGGUGAAAUUCGUAGAUAUUCGGAAGAACACCAGUGGCGAAGGCGACUUACUGGACACAUAUUGACGCUGAGGUGCGAAAGCGUGGGGAGCAAACAGG
rnacentral:rRNA from 1 species